AGGGCCUUCACGAAGACUAAGUCUUAUCUAGAACUUCCAGUUCCUCAAACAGAACAGCAACAACUGAAAGGUCCACCAACUUCUGGGGACAACACUGAAACGUACUGGGGCCUCAAAGCACUUCAGCCAGCCAAGCCGACCGCGCCAGUUGCACCCUACCACCUUCACACUAACGAAAGGCUAAGACACGCGCGUCCUGCCUCUCCGCUCGCAAACCAAACUCACGCCAGAGCCACAGACUCACGGUACGCGAGGGCAGCUGUCGGCGAGACCAGGCUGAAAGCGGAGCGACCCCGACGGAGCCGGGAUCGGCCGCGCCAGCAGCAAAGACGUCGCCGCGGCUCCCGGGCGGCUCGCCGCUGGGUUCGGCUCGCCUCGGCUCGCGCCCGGGAGCCGCGCGGCCGCAGGGCCGAGACGGUUCCCGCGGCACAUGCCCGAGCCGAGGCCCGAGCCGAGCCCCUCGCGGCGCCAGGGCCGCCCGCCCCGCCGGGCCGCCGCCCCUGCGGGGCCUGUCAGGGCGCCGGGACCCCCUACGCCGAGCCGCCCCGACCCGGCCCGACGCCCCCCUGCGGCGGCCGGCCCGCCCGCGGCUCACCUGGGACUGUCGGGGUGUCUCGCAUGGCGGGUGCCCGGCCCGUCCCCUGCCCGCUCCCACCGCCGCUUCCCGCCCGCUCCCGCAGCUCUUCGCACCCGGAAACGAUUCCGCUGGCGGCGCUUCCGCUUCCUGGUGACGCGCGCCGGCAGCGGGCGCGGAGCCCUCCCGAGGCCGCCGGGGGGCGCGGGUGGGGCGGGGCCGGGCCCCGUCUCGGCGCCUCCCUGCGCUGCUGGGCCCGGCGCCGCGGCGCGCCCGCGGACCUCGGCGUCUCCCUCGCCGUAAAGCUGCCGCACGAGGAAAUGAAGGAGUUUAAGCUGCAGCUGCAACCUGCGGACAGCAGCGGGAACGGGCCUCCGAAAUCCUGCCUCGGAGCACGCGUUCCGAGACGUAGCAGGAGCGAGGAACGUGGAAGAGAAAACAAGACAGAUUCCCACGAACAGCUCAGCGUUACGGCACACGUAGUAAUUUCCGGAAACGUAUGGUCCGACAUAUUUAGAGACCAACUUUUCUUCCUCCUCUUCCCCUCUCCCCUUUUUCUUGUAAACACUGGGUGCCGGGCGCAUUGCAGAUGA
rnacentral:lncRNA from 1 species